UACGAAGGGGACUAGCGUUGUUCGGAAUUACUGGGCGUAAAGCGCACGUAGGCGGAUUGCUAAGUCAGGGGUGAAAUCCCGGGGCUCAACCUCGGAACUGCCUUUGAUACUGACAAUCUCGAGUCCGAUAGAGGUGGGUGGAAUUCCUAGUGUAGAGGUGAAAUUCGUAGAUAUUAGGAAGAACACCGGUGGCGAAGGCGGCUCACUGGACCGGCAUUGACGCUGAUGUGCGAAAGCGUGGGGAGCAAACAGG
rnacentral:rRNA from 1 species